GCAGCCGAGGAGCACAGCUAGUCAUAUCAGGACCAGAGUGGUGACUGUCAGUCCCCACGGCUCCCCCAGCGGAUGGCAGCUGUCAGUCUGAAUCACAGAAUCCCUGGGGAAGAUAUAGGGUCUUCACUGCUUUCAGGAAGCCAUUUCUGGGCAAAGACUCCUGUUUGCAAGGAAAAGGCACAGACACUGUACCUCUCUGCAAGGUGGCUGUUUUUCCAAAGGAAGGGUAGAUGGAAAGGACGACAAAGCUGGAAGAGGGUGAAUUAGCAAGGGAGACGACAAGGUGCAAGCUAUAACCAGGGAGAAUGCUCACCUGGGACUGCUGGCUGCUGCCCUUCGAGGAUGGCCUGUCUGCCAGACCAUCCCUCAGGGUGGGGCUUCCAGUCUGAGACUCCAUGGAGAAGAAGCAUGAUCCUGAGGGACAUUCUGCCUAUACCUGAAGCCCUAGGAGAACAGAGGUAAACUUGAGACAUGUGUAGACAAAAUAAAGUAUGGAUCUUGAUCCUUGAGGACCUCAAUGUCCAUGUUCAUGCUAAUGAUCCAUUGAGUACUUGGAUUUCAGUUACUACUUUUCCUCAAUAUUAUUCCACCCUGUAUGCUGGCCUUUGCAGAAGACUCAAGUUGGAAGAUGGAAAUUCAGAUUACAAGGUACCUCACCUGCUACCUGCCACCUCUCUGGCUCUCCUACAAACCAGCUCAUCCAUGCAACAGGUCCCACACCCCCAUGGGCAGGGCCCACACCAUCAGGAGGAAAGGUUUUGCUAAUGAUGGCCUAGAGGAAGGAGUAGCCCUGGCAUCAGAGCCCUGUGUACGAUUUAGCCUAUAAACCCAAAACUGCUAUUAACUUCUACUAAGCCACCACAUUGAGCAGGUCCUGAAAGAGAAGAACAGAGCAGCCCCAUCAAAGGGAACCUUCUAUGCACCCAGGGCAAUGCUGGGUAUUCACAGGUAUAUAGGCGCCUGGCUCUUCACCUGAACAACAGCUUCCCUCUAUGGUAGCUUUCCUAAGGUUAGGUUACGACCAAAUAUCCCUGCAGGCAACCCAUUCCUUGCUCCCAUACUUUGAAUAAUAAUAAAACCAGCUGCUGGUUGGAGUCUGCCAAGGCUACCUCCCAGGAGAGCUUCUCUGAAGGUUAAUGUGGAGCUGUCAUGCACAGCCAGAUUGUCACUUAGGCCUUUGUUGUUCCUCCUGCACUUGUUUCUCUGCUCUGGCUGUGUCCAGCAGCUUCCUAGUGCCCACUAGGUGGUGAUGCCAGCAGAGACUGGCCUGUGAGCCUGGAGCAAAAAGGACCGUCAGUAUGGAUUGGCUUCCAGCUGAAGUGGGCCCACCCAGCAAUCCGAAGAGGUGGGAAGGAUGGUGUUAACAGCAAGCUAGCACUUCAUGAGGGCUUGGAUUAUUGUUCAAUGCAUUCUGAUGAGCACCAUCUGCUGCCAAUCCACACUGGGCAUAUGUCUUUUUGCCCAAGCACUGCACUGUGGCUACGAAUUCAUCACAAAGCAUGCAUAGGCCUUGCAGAGAGGAGACAAGUGCUGGAGACAAUCUCCAAGCAUAUCUGGGAGCAAGGGAAGACAGGUGGAAAAACAUUCUGUAAAUAUAGACCUACAAAAUACAUAAGGGACAAAUACUGCCUGAGACAUUUAGCAAUACCCAAUUUGCCAUAUGACAGACCAUAAAAGCGACCAGAGAAGUUUCUGCAUCAGCUGAAUCCUUAGCUAAAUCUAUUGCAUAAACCGUUUCUUUUGUUUCUGUAUGGUAUGUUUGAUGUUCUAAUUCCCAUUCAACUAUGAGCUCCAGUUCAUCCCAAAACUUUUUUGUUGUAGUUGUUAAGAACAAUAAAUUUCACAUCUCUCUGUAUUAA